rnacentral:pre_miRNA from 17 species
CGCUUGACUUCUUAGUAAAGUCUCUUGUGUUAAGGUGCAUCUAGUGCAGAUAGUGAAGUAGAGUAGAAUCUACUGCCCUAAGUGCUCCUUCUGGCAUAAGUAACUCUGAUCAGCUUUGGUGUGCC